rnacentral:rRNA from 1 species
AGAACGAACGCCGGCGGCGUGGAUUAGGCAUGCAAGUCGAACGUGAAGGAACAGCAAUGUUCCGUAAAGUGGCAAACGGGUGAGUAACGCGUGGGAAACCUACCUUAAGGUUGGGGAUAACACUUCUAACGAGGUGCUAAUACCGAAUACGAUCGAAUGUCCGCAUGGACGAUCGAUCAAAGGCGGCCUCUGUUUACAAGCUGUCGCCUUUAGAUGGUCCCGCGUCCCAUUAGCUAGUUGGUGAGGUAACGGCCCACCAAGGCUAUGAUGGGUAGCCGGCCUUAGCGGGUGUCCGGCCACACUGGAACUGAGACACGGUCCAGACUCCUACGGGAGGCAGCAGUCGAGAGGCUUCUACAAUGGGGGAAACCCUGAUAGAGCGACGCCGCGUGGGUGAUGAAGGUCUUCGGAUCGUAAAGCCCUUUCAGCAAGGAAGAAUGUACGGGUGCUAAUAUCAUCCGAUGCAGGACGGUACUUGCAGAAGAAGCUCCGGCUAACUCCGUGCCAGCAGCCGCGGUAAGACGGAGGGAGCAAGCGUUGUUCGGAUUUACUGGGCGUAAAGGGCGUCUAGGCGGGUUAGUCAGUCAGAUGUGAAACCCCCCGGCUCAACCGGGGACCGGCAUUUGAUACUGCUAAUCUUGAGUACGGAAGAGGAAAGCGGAAUUCCUGGUGUAGCGGUGAAAUGCGUAGAUAUCAGGAAGAACACCGGUGGCGAAGGCGGCUUUCUGGUCCGAUACUGACGCUAAAGCGCGAAAGUGCGGGGAGCAAACAGGAUUAGAUACCCUGGUAGUCCGCACUGUAAACGAUGGAUACUAGGUGUCGGGGGUAUCGACCCCCCCGGUGCCGCAGCUAACGCAUUAAGUAUCCGGCCUGGGGA